AAUAGCCUAACGGCUGAACCAGCAACUUGGAGGAAUGUAUAGCUUAGCUAAAUGUUUUUUGUUAAAAAAAAACAUAUUCGAUUUAUUCGUAUAAAAUUCUAGGUAGAAUUAUGAUAAUGACAUUAUCUAUCUAUAAGUCUUGACCAACAUGCGUGCCAGCAGUCGCGGUAAGACGCUAAAGACUAGUGUUAUUCAUCUUAAUUGGUUUAAAGGGUACCUAGACGGUAAAUUAAGCCUUAAGGGGUACUAAUUUAACUAGAGUUAGAUGUAAGGGUGCAUUAACGUACUAUUGAGUGUAGAGAUGAAAUUCUGUCAUACCAGAUGAUUGGCACGGGUUUAGGCGAAAGCAUCACCUUAUGUAAUAACUGACGUUGAGGGACGAAGGCUUUGUAUCGCAAAAAGGAUUAGUUACCCUCGUAGUCUAAGCAGAAAAUGAUGAAUGUCAUAGGUUAAAUAUUAUUUAGUCUAUAAAUGAAAGUGUAAGCAUUCCACCUCAAGAGUAAUUUGGCAACAUUGGAAUUGAAAUCAUUAGACCGUUUCUGAAACCAGUAGUGAAGUAUGUUGUUUAAUUAGAUGGUCCACAAAGAACCUUACCACAAUUUGAAUAUUUUACAAGCGUUGCACGGCUGUCUACAGUUAAUGUCGUGAGACUGUGGUUAGUUCCAUUAAAUUAACGUAAACCCUUACUUUAUUUUAUUUUAUAUAAAGUAGUUCGCCGCUAUAUUGGUAUAGAUAAAAGGGAAUAUGACAAGUCAUCAUGACCUUACAUACAUAUUGU
rnacentral:rRNA from 1 species